rnacentral:snoRNA from 1 species
AUUCUUUGCUCUUCAUAUUCUUUAGAUUUAAAUAUUGGUCUGAGUGGCUGAAAAGUGAGGAAAAGUAAAACUAAAGUGGGCUUGGAGUUUUCAAUGACGCACAAGUUCAUCUCAAGCAUAC